rnacentral:rRNA from 1 species
CCUACGGGUGGCUGCAGUGGGGAAUAUUGGACAAUGGGGGGAACCCUGAUCCAGCCAUGCCGCGUGUGUGAAGAAGGCCCUCGGGUUGUAAAGCACUUUCAGUGAGGAAGAACGCCUGGUGGUUAAUACCCAUCAGGAAAGACAUCACUCACAGAAGAAGCACCGGCUAACUCCGUGCCAGCAGCCGCGGUAAUACGGAGGGUGCGAGCGUUAAUCGGAAUUACUGGGCGUAAAGCGCGCGUAGGUGGCUUGAUAAGCCGGUUGUGAAAGCCCCGGGCUCAACCUGGGAACGGCAUCCGGAACUGUCAAGCUAGAGUGCAGGAGAGGAAGGUAGAAUUCCCGGUGUAGCGGUGAAAUGCGUAGAGAUCGGGAGGAAUACCAGUGGCGAAGGCGGCCUUCUGGACUGACACUGACACUGAGGUGCGAAAGCGUGGGUAGCAAACAGGAUUAGAUCCCGAGUAGUC